UAUUUACCAUGCCCGUAAUGUUUAUUCUGGAACACACGUACUUCCCGUUAUCUAUUAACGUUACCUUCGAGCUGGUGAUGGGAAGCUGUCUGCUGAGAGAAGACGAUACGUUGGAAUCAUACCCAAACCCAUCAACACAAUAAGGGAUGUGCGACUGUAGCUGAUGUUGAGUCUUCCAAGCCUACCUGUGACGCCUCGCCUGAUAUUACUAGGUGAACGACAAGGUAAUCAUCAAAAGUGGAUGGUCAGCAUUGAAUCCUUAAUCGUUUGUGAAGGGUCCAACCUCGCCACAUUUCUAACAGGGAUUAUGACAUGUUUCUCCACCUUCUACAGUAUAUUCUGAAUCUGCAAUAUCAGGAGGAGGCAGCGUGCACCCUUGAAUUCUUCCAGAGAAAAAGGCCCAGAAGAAGCCUAAGAACAAUCACUAAUAAGUAAAGUGAAUGUUACUUGAUUUCUCAUGAAUGUUACUUGAUUCCCUCCCUGAUUAUCAUUUAUUCUCAUCUCUUACUUUAAAUUCUUCUGGACAUAAUCUGUCAGUUUAUUCAUUCUCACAUGUACACAAGGCCAAUGCGAUGCAAUGAUAUUGAUAAUUGAUAAAUAUCUGUGAUGAUUAUUCUGUAUCUUAUUUGAUUUUGAAAUAGUUUAGAUAACAUGUCUACAUUUUACAUACAUAUGUGAUACACAAGCCUAAUGCGAUGUUUUUAUUUUCCAUGAUAAUUCUUUUGUACCUUAUUUCCGAUUUUUGAAAUACAACU